AGACUGCGGCCGACCAAUCAGCGCUCUCCCGCCUGUGCGCCGAUACGCUCAAGACCUGCUGAGAAGUGACAAGACCUCAUACUGCCAGAUAACAUCCACAACGUUAGGACACAACAGAAACCAAAGCAACAGCGGGAAAAAAGACGAGAAAAAGAAGGACAAAUCUGCCGCGGUUUAACCAGGGAUUGCCACAGGAUCACUUUACACGUAGCGCCUCGCUCUUGAUGAUAAGCGUACGCGCAGGAGCCGUUCUCUGGCCCCUAUAGAGGUUGCGCUUGGAAGUGUACGAAACUUUUUUUUUUUUUUUUUUUUUUGCUAUUUUUUGCCUGUGACCUUUUGGAAUCAGAUUUAUUAAACGCCGACCUCCCGUUAUACCGUGGAUCCUAAGGGCGAAAAAGGGAGGACCGGUGUAGUGUGGAAUUCCUCCGCUUUCUUUUCUCUGCCGUUCUUUUUUUUAUUUUGCUCUCGCUGCGUUAAACUCUGUUUUCCGGAGGAGCGCGUGCGUUCGAGAAGUUGAAUUCGACGCAGGUGCUUCGGUCCCGAAGGGCAUAAUGGGAUUGUUACUUUGACCCGCGAUAUCACGGUUCGUUCACAUCCAGCAGCUUCGCUUUUAAUUGUUUCGAGAGCCAAAGACUGUUCAGUAACACACCGCUGGAAUUACAACCAUGAACUUUGUUGUUUAUUCGAUACAGUUAUUUUUCGCGGCUCUCCUUCAUCUGUCUGCUGUAAAGGCUGCCUACAUACCCAAAGAAGGGAUGAAGAGCAAAAACGAGGUGAUUCCCUUCAUGGAUGUGUACAAAAAGAGUGCGUGUAAGACGCGAGAGAUGCUGGUAGACAUCAUUCAGGAGUAUCCCGACCAGAUCGAGCACACCUACAUCCCGUCCUGCGUGGUUCUCAUGCGCUGCGCAGGCUGCUGCAACGACGAGGCCCUCGAGUGUGUCCCUACAGAGACCCGCAACGUCACCAUGGAGGUACUGAGAGUCAAACAACGUGUAUCGCAGCAUAAUUUUCAACUGAGUUUCACAGAACACACCAAGUGUGAAUGCAGGCAAAAGGUAGAAGUCAAAUCAAAGAAAGAAAAAAAAGCCAGAGUGGGGAGGGUUAAAAGCCGAAAGAGAGCGAGAGAGGGAGAUUCGGGCGAUCUCAGCGCCUCGGCUCACCUGCGCUCAAGCAGUAUUUUGCUCUCAGUCGUUGGCUUUAUUUCAGGGCAGCUUGUUUGCUCUUUGUAAUCUCACUUGUCCCGUUGGCUUUAAGCCCCAGUCUGCAUUUAUUUGUACUCUAAUUCACACUGUUGGCCCACGGCCCGCAAAGAGGAAAGCAACCAAAGAUGUGAAAAGCCAAGAUGAUGAUCGGCGUGCUGGGCAGGACAAUGAAUGAAGGAACCUUUUUUUUUCUUUUCUUUUUUUAUUUUUUACGGCACAGCACUUUUUAAACCCGAGGAUGCAUUCCCUGGACGAACUGCAAACACGAACGAAAGGACUGAGAGAAUGAAACGAGGGCAGGAGAUACCAUCCCGAUGUAAAUUUUUAAGAUAUUAAUAUAUGAAUAUAUAGAAUAUAUAUUAUAUAUAUUAAAUGACAAAGACAAUGUGUGUCGCUGCUAUCACCUACAAGUAAACGAAGACGCUGCUUGGCGUGUGAAUGGGAUAUAUUUCGGUGUCACCGCACCUGGGCCUGCGAUUGGACGGCUUCACCGGAUCGGCCCGUUGUGGAUUAAUAUUUAAAGACUCGGAUCGAAUGUCCAAGACUUCACCGAAAGGUGCAGCUUCCACGACGGCUUCCAAUCUUUUACACGAUCAGUUACAGACUGUCGAACAAAGAAGAGGAAGUGACAUCGUAACGAUUCUUUCCGGAACGUUGGGAACAGUGGGUCCAGGCACGGGAUACGAAUGCGGAACUAUCUCUUUCUGUGAUGUCACUCUCACUGGGGUGAAGUCUUAGUCGCCCUGUACUGACUAACAACCAAUAGGACUUGGUGUGAUAAUACUAAAGGGAUAUUACAUACUGUAUAUGUACAUACGGAGCAACAGCGACGCGUAAAUGUGACAAAAUGCAAAUCAAUUCUGACAUUCGCUAAGGAAAAGACUCGUUCCAUUCACUGCAUUAGAAAAAGAUAACUCAGAUAAUCAGGUUGGUAACGUUUUCCAAAGAGAAUAUUGCACACGACUUUAGGAACUGUUUAUUACCACACGAUAUAUGUGUAUACGUAUCUAAUAUCCCUUUGCGUAGUUCACUACAUCUAAUUUAUAAUGUUAGAAUAUUGUUCAGUAUUCUCUGUAUUUAAUUUGAUCUAUUUAUAUGCAGUGUUAUUGUUGAUAUUGUUUUGAUUGGUUUCCUGUCGACAUUGUCACCAAUCUGAAAAACUGUGGACGGCUUUGUAGAACGAAAGACAAAAGAGAAACAGACACUUCGACAUUCCUGAAAGCGCCUUUUUUAGUUUAUCGUAACGUUUUUUUUUUUCAGUUUGGUGGAGAUACGAGGCCCGCGGACGAGGUUUUACGAUCUAAAAACAAACAUUCUCUUUGCGUGAAAGUGCCAGAAAUGAGUUUUUCUUUGUUCGUUUGUUUGUUUGCCAUGUACAGCCACAUUUUCAGUAUAUUUUCACAGUAAUAUAUUUAUUGGUGCUGUUAAAUAUUAACAUCCUUUUGUGUUUUUAGUAUAACUAUUAAACAUAUUUAUUUUCAAAUGAUAUUGUUUUUUAUUAAAGCAAAAAUGGAUUUCUGUUUGGCGAGUGUGCUGUUUUUGCAUUUCGCAUUUCCAAAAUGUUGGUAUAAGAGAAAUAAAUUAUACACGUGCGCUCACUCUAUAGGACAAAGCAAGUGCAAAUGACACCUUAAGUCAAGAUAUAUAGCUAUAAAGCAACAGCAGACGAUGCUUGCUGUCACAUAUUCCAUUAAAUUAAGAAAAAGAAACGCUAGGGUAACAUUUCACUUUCAUUUCAGACAUCGCAGAUGAAAAUACAUGGAAAAUCAUCACAGUGUGUGCUCGCAUCUUUUUGUUGUUGUUGUGAAGAACACACUCUCAUGUCGUCCUGACCUUGUGCUGAAAGCUAGCGCUCUUUCCCAUUUGAAAGUGGAUGGUUAUUUAUGCCUCCAAGCUCCAAAAAGGACAAAAAUGUCACACUGACUUCCAAAGCCGGGAGAAAAUUAAUAGAAACAAGAACAUGAUUUGAACAUGAUUUCCUGCGUUGAAUACCAAACUACUGAAUCAGACGUUGUUUUACAACAGCGCAAAAAUGAAACUGAGAGUAAACUGAAUCCAAAGGUUAAUUAUCCUUGUUAGAUAAGAUUUUAAGGAACAAUUUACUUAUGAAACAUCCUCAUUAAGGUAAUAAUAUGAUUACAGCAUUUUAUACACUCGCCGUGUGAUCCUGAUCAGGAUUCAAAGCACUGCUUUAUUUCCUUGACCUUUGGUUGUGUCUGAUGAAUGUGGGAUUUUGACAGAGCUUUCUGCUUUUUGUAUGAAUUUUCCCAACCCUAAAAAUAAAACGUUUUCCAGAA